UGAGGAAUAUUGGUCAAUGGGCGCAAGCCUGAACCAGCCAUCCCGCGUGCAGGAAGACGGCCCUAUGGGUUGUAAACUGCUUUUCCAGGGGGAGAAUUUUUCUGUCGUGACAGGAAUUGACGGUACCCUGGGAAUAAGCAUCGGCUAACUCCGUGCCAGCAGCCGCGGUAAUACGGAGGAUGCGAGCGUUAUCCGGAUUUAUUGGGUUUAAAGGGUGCGUAGGCGGAUUGAUAAGUCAGUGGUGAAAACCUGCAGCUUAACUGUAGACUUGCCGUUGAUACUGUCAGUCUUGAGUAUGGUCAAGGUAGGCGGAAUGUGUAAUGUAGCGGUGAAAUGCUUAGAUAUUACACAGAACACCGAUUGCGAAGGCAGCUUACUGGGCCAUUACUGACGCUGAUGCGCGAAAGCCAGGGGAGCAAACGG
rnacentral:rRNA from 1 species